rnacentral:misc_RNA from 1 species
AGGCUCUGGCAUCGAUGAAGAACGCAGCGAAAUGCGAUAGGUACUGUGAAUUGCAGAACCCAGUGAAUCAUCGAAUCUUUGAACGCACAUAGCGCCCGCUGGCACUCCAGCGGGCAUGCCUGUCCGAGCGUCAUACGCACCCUCUCAGGCUCCUCGUGAGCCUGGCGUUGGAGCGCAUCUCGGCCUUCAGUGGCGGGAUGGCUCUUAAAUCCAGUGGCGGACCACCUGGACGACCCGGGCGUAGUAGCACCUACGUCGCCCUGGGGCGGACUGGAGGUCCUGCCGUAAAACCUGCCACGGGCCUAGCCCCUCUGGCAUCUAGCACUGGCCUCGGAUCAGGUAGGGAUACCCGCUGA